rnacentral:rRNA from 1 species
UACGUAGGGUGCGAGCGUUAAUCGGAAUUACUGGGCGUAAAGCGUGCGCAGGCGGUUUUGUAAGCCAGAUGUGAAAUCCCCGGGCUCAACCUGGGAAUGGCAUUUGGGACUGCAAGGCUCGAGUUUGGCAGAGGAGACUGGAAUUCCUGGUGUAGCAGUGAAAUGCGUAGAUAUCAGGAGGAAUACCGAUGGCGAAGGCAGGUCACUGGGCCGCAACUGACGCUGAGGAGCGAAAGCAUGGGGAGCGAACAGG